GAUGAACGCUGGCGGCGUGCCUAAUACAUGCAAGUCGAGCGAACGGACGAGAAGCUUGCUUCUCUGAUGUUAGCGGCGGACGGGUGAGUAACACGUGGAUAACCUACCUAUAAGACUGGGAUAACUUCGGGAAACCGGAGCUAAUACCGGAUAAUAUUUUGAACCGCAUGGUUCAAAAGUGAAAGACGGUCUUGCUGUCACUUAUAGAUGGAUCCGCGCUGCAUUAGCUAGUUGGUAAGGUAACGGCUUACCAAGGCAACGAUGCAUAGCCGACCUGAGAGGGUGAUCGGCCACACUGGAACUGAGACACGGUCCAGACUCCUACGGGAGGCAGCAGUAGGGAAUCUUCCGCAAUGGGCGAAAGCCUGACGGNAGCACGCCGCGUGAGUGAUGAAGGUCUUCGGAUCGUAAAACUCUGUUAUUAGGGAAGAACAUAUGUGUAAGUAACUGUGCACAUCUUGACGGUACCCUAUCAGAAAGCCACGGCUAACUACGUGCCAGCAGCCCGCGGUAUACGUAGGUGGGCAGCGUUAUCCCGAAAUUAUGGGCGUAAAGCGCGCGUGGCGGUUUUUUAGUCUGAUGUGAAAGCCCACGGCUCAACCGUGGAGGGUCAUUGGAAACUGGAAAACUUGAGUGCAGAAGAGGAAAGUGGAAUUCCAUGUGUAGCGGUGAAAUGCGCAGAGAUAUGGAGGAACACCAGUGGCGAAGGCGACUUUCUGGUCUGUAACUGACGCUGAUGUGCGAAAGCGUGGGGAUCAAACAGGAUUAGAUACCCUGGUAGUCCACGCCGUAAACGAUGAGUGCUAAGUGUUAGGGGGUUUCCGCCCCUUAGUGCUGCAGCUAACGCAUUAAGCACUCCGCCUGGGGAGUACGACCGCAAGGUUGAAACUCAAAGGAAUUGACGGGGACCCGCACAAGCGGUGGAGCAUGUGGUUUAAUUCGAAGCAACGCGAAGAACCUUACCAAAUCUUGACAUCCUUUGACAACUCUAGAGAUAGAGCCUUCCCCUUCGGGGGACAAAGUGACAGGUGGUGCAUGGUUGUCGUCAGCUCGUGUCGUGAGAUGUUGGGUUAAGUCCCGCAACGAGCGCAACCCUUAAGCUUAGUUGCCAUCAUUAAGUUGGGCACUCUAAGUUGACUGCCGGUGACAAACCGGAGGAAGGUGGGGAUGACGUCAAAUCAUCAUGCCCCUUAUGAUUUGGGCUACACACGUGCUACAAUGGACAAUACAAAGGGCAGCGAAACCGCGAGGUCAAGCAAAUCCCAUAAAGUUGUUCUCAGUUCGGAUUGUAGUCUGCAACUCGACUACAUGAAGCUGGAAUCGCUAGUAAUCGUAGAUCAGCAUGCUACGGUGAAUACGUUCCCGGGUCU
rnacentral:rRNA from 1 species